GGCGGCGGCGGCGACGACGUGGGGUGGGGGGGAAGGGAAGGAGGAAGACUGGAUCCGCAGCGGCAGCAGGAGGAGAAAGAAGGAGAAGGAGUAGGAGCCGCUGGAGCCGCCACUGCCAGAGCCGCCCUUCGAUAUCCGCGACCCCACGGAUCCUUGACAGAAGGCAUUGGAAGCAAAUGCAUUGUCACAUCGAGAGAAGUUCUCUGCUGACCAGCUUGCUGCACAGUACACUGAAUGAUGACCUCUAAAUAGGGAUGUGUGUGGAAGCAGAGAGAGGAGUUAGCACCCUGAGGGGAGAUAUUGUCUCAUGGAAAAGGAAGAAUGUUGACUUUCUACUACGAAGAGAAAGACCAAGCAUUUGCACACCCCUUCCUUCCUCUUCUCUUCCCUACUCCCAAUAUAGUUUUACAAAGUUUUUGAUUAAACCAAUAUUGUGCUUACAUUA